rnacentral:rRNA from 1 species
GACGAACGCUGGCGGCGUGCUUAACACAUGCAAGUCGAACGAAAAUACCAAGCUUGCUUGGUUGAUUAGUGGCGAACGGGUGAGUAACACGUGAGUAACCUGCCCCUUACUUUCCUGGAUAACUGCUCGAAAGGGUAGCUAAUACGGGAUAUUCUGACCAGCCUGCAUGGGUUGGUUUGGAAAGGUUGUUUUUCUGUAAGGGAUGGGCUCGCGGCCUAUCAGCUUGUUGGUGGGGUGAUGGCCUACCAAGGCUUUGACGGGUAGCCGGCCUGAGAGGGUGGACGGUCACACUGGGACUGAGAUACGGCCCAGACUCCUACGGGAGGCAGCAGUGGGGAAUAUUGCACAAUGGGCGCAAGCCUGAUGCAGCGACGCCGCGUGAGGGAUGAAGGCCUUCGGGUUGUAAACCUCUUUCGUCAGGGAACAAGGCACUGCUUUUUUGGUGGUGUUGAGGGUACCUGGAUAAGAAGCGCCGGCUAACUACGUG